ACUCUGGAUGGACUGCCGGCGACAAGCCGGAGGAGGGUGGGACGACGUCAAGUCAUCACUGGCCCUUAUGUCCAGGGCGACACACGUGCUACAAUGGCCGGCACGAGCGGGAAGCGAAGGGGCGACUCUGAGCGGAUCCCUUAAAGCCGGUCCCAGUUCGGAUUGCAGUCUGCAACUCGACUGCAUGAAGUUGGAAUCGCUAGUAAUCGCAGAUCAGCCAAGCUGCGGUGAAUACGUUCCCGGGCCUU
rnacentral:rRNA from 1 species